rnacentral:lncRNA from 1 species
AGAAGACCAAAAAUAAAAUAUCUACAUUAGAGUAGUAGUGUUGUAGCCAAGUAUGUGAAGCAAUAGGGGUGAUAGUAUUGCCAGAUGAGAGUGAGUGGAUAAACAACUGGAGUUCAGAUAAAUGUUCAGAGCUACGGUGGGUUUAGAGCCGAAAUGCUUAGAUUUUCAAACUAUUUUUGUCAGAAAAGCUUACCUAUAUGUUUUAUGAAAAUCCACUAAGUUUGCACCAGAAGAAGCGUUUUCGUCAGAGCCGUCGCAAGAAAACCAUGGCCGAAAAGAAUAUGGGAUGUGACCCUUCGAAGCCAUCUAUUGUUGGAGAAAAAAGUUGUCGAAAAGAACCGAGAUGCCCUGAAAACUCCGGACCCAGGUGGAAUUAUCCCCAACCUUCCUCUUUCUCAUGCACAGGUUACAGAUCUCAAAACGAAUAAACCAGGCAAUCUUGCUAUGUCUAUAUCAAUUCUUAAUAUACAAAAGUCAUGUUUGACAGUAAGCUACUGGAAAAGCUGUAAGAUUUACUAAACUUUUUAUGCUCUUACGAAAACAAUUUUUCUUAUAAACGUUCAAAAAUACAUCUGGCAACGUCAAAUGGCCUGCCGCUUGAUCAACCCAACAUAAAUGCAAUAAAAUACAUUGGAAUGCAGCUAAACCACUUUUUCAAAGUUUUUUUUUAUUGUUUGGUUUAGUUAUGUUCGAGUUACCUGGCGACUUGUGAGAGAAUUACAGAUGCAUGUACAUACAUAUGUAAAUAAGUUACUGUUGUUGUAUGUCGACACGCAAGCGCAGACCAACAACAAAGCUAGAUACUUAUUAGAAAACCAACACUGGAUACAAAGAAUGGAGCAAGCCAACGCACUGGGCGGCCUCUGAAUGCCAGCGAGUCAGUCAAAGAACCGGAGAAUGCUCACAGCAGUGCAGAAGGCGCAAAGCACAGCACCAAUGUACAAAGCUACGUACAUAGGUAAGAGUCAGUCAGUCAUCCAACCUUUGCAACCGGUCACCAGGUAAUACUCGCUGCUUCAACAUACCGAAGAAGUAUAACGCUACAUAAUGCAGCAACAUAAAACCAACAUACACACAUACAUGUUUUGUCUAUAAAAAUGUGUAGAUAUGUCUGUCUGUUGGAGUUGGAGUUCAGUUCGGUGGGAAUAAUUCAAUUCUUGGUUGUCUUAUUUCUGGUUUGCUUCAUUCUGAGAUUGGAAUGUGGUACUACCAGAUAUCGGCGCACUAACACACACACAUAUGCACUGCAUAGGCUCCAUUUACAUGACCAAGAGCUACAACAAUAACAAGCAACAACAACAAUCGUGACUCUAGUGGGGAAAAAAAUAUUUUCAUACUUUGCUUUUACAGUUGGGAACCAAAGAACCACUACGAGAAUGCUUCAACAAUCACUUAAUACAAAAAAAACACACACAUACAAGUGUAUGUGAACUGAAAGAAAGCUGAAGGAAGUAUCUCAAGAACAGCAUUAAGGCGAAUGCAAUGUAAAGAAAAAAUCGGGAAAAAAAUAAAUAAAACAUUCUUGAGUCGUCCUUCCAAGAAAUGCAAUCACGCAGCGAUCACCAACGACGUUGUCGCCAACAACAAAAGCAAACGCAGCAAUGCUCCUAAACACACACAGAGCAUAAAGAAAGCAACAACAAAAGAUAAGAAAAAUUCACUCAAUAUGCAGGCGCAGGCGCAGACCCAAAUGUGAUCGAGCAGCGAGCAGCGUUUGAAGCAACAAUCACCAAAAAUGCUCUAACAAGCUGCGCUUUCAAUUUGAAUGUAGAUAUUGUAGCAAGCGGCGCAGGCGUAGCAGCAUAGAAUAAGUGCAUAAGGCAUAGAAUGUUGUAAGCCGAAGAUCGUGAGCCAUCGAUCAGUUUUCCAUAGCAUAACCCUGCAGGGUUCCCCGCUUUGCGGUAAAGAUCAAUGAAAUACAAAAAAUGUGCCAUAACAGUUUGACUUGAAGCAACGAAAUACCUAAAUUGGAUGGAUGCUGCUGCAUGGGUUGACCAACCACGACAUACGAUCGUUCACUCGUUCAUUAAUAUUGCACUUCUAAUUUAAUUUUUUUUAAUGAUCUAUCGAAAAUGCGAGAAUGCAUGCAUGCAAGAAGAGGCAGUAGGUGGAGGAGGCUACUACCGUUGUAUGGAUAUUACAAAUUUAAAUGUACCAAGUUCAGACUGUGAACAAACUUGUGUGUGUGGAUGUACGUUUGAUCGCCCUUCGAUCGUUGAUUGUUCAGGGCGUUUUAUUGUAUGGGAAAAACUCUAACAACUGAGAUUCUACGAACAAUAGCAGCAGGAAAAUGAGAAAUUAUACUCAUUUGAGUUGUGAUGUGUGCGUGUGAUGAAAGAGAAAGACCGCCGUCGCCAGCGACACAAUAGUACUCGAAAAGUUGAAUAAAAAAUAUAGAGAUUAUACUGGACCAA